rnacentral:rRNA from 1 species
AUUGAACGCUGGCGGCAUGCCUAACACAUGCAAGUCGAACGAGUGGCGGACGGGUGAGUAAUUUCUUGGAACCUUCCUGAUGGAGGGGGAUAACUCCUGGAACCGGUAGCUACUACCGCAUACCAUCGGAUGUUCCCAGAUGGGAUUAGUUAGUCGGUGGGGUAAAGGCUCACCUAGGCGACGAUCCCUAGCUGGUCUGAGAGGAUUAACGGCAACACUGGAACUGAGACACGGUCCAGACUCCUACGGGAGGCAGCAGUGGGGAAGAUUGCACAAUGGGCGCAAGCCUGAUGCAGCCAUGCCGCGUGUAUGAAGAAGGCCUUCGGGUUGUAAAGUACUUUCAGCGAGGAGGCGUUACUCGCAGAAGAAGCACCGGCUAACUCCGUGCCAGCAGCCGCGGUAAUUC